GCCCCCGUUUCCUUGUUUGGACGAUCGGAGGGAUAAUUGAAUGGAACUGAUGAACGAAGGCGAUUGGAGGGAUGACGAUGUCAGUCGACCAUUCGUUGAUCGGGCAAAGAAAAAGAACGGAUCGAAGGCAAGACAAAACGUACGCCUCCGGUGGUCCAUCUGCCGAGCAAAGAAGAAGAAAUACGGGAACGAAAUCAGAAGAAACAAACACGAAGGCGACGACUCUGCAUCAGGGUCUUUUUUCGUCGGAGAUUACGAAGAAUACCGAAGGAGGAAGAAGCUCCCAGGCGGCUAAUACGAAUAUUUUGGUCGAUUGAUCGCGAAGGGAACGUCUCCGGGGGUUGACGGGGCCGAAGAGAUGGAGGGAAGAGCAGCGAGGAUACGCUAUUUCUGUCCGACAGCGAGAGGCAAAAGGGAAAGCGGUUCGGUGGUUUUUGGAUCGAGGGUGUGGUGUGGCUAAGAGGUUGCGAAGGGAGGGAAAAGGAGAACAGAAUUAGCGGUGCUUCUGUUGGUCUCGAAAUCGAUGGAACCCAAUUGGGUGUUUGGGUUUGAUUUUUGAUAGAAAAAAAAAAAAAAAAAAAAAAAAAAAAAAAAAAACGAGGGAGGCUGCCACGAGGAAGAAGAAGGAAGAGAAGAAGGAAGGAAGAAUGAAGUGGAAGCUGUGGUUCUUUUUGUUUGCAGGUAAACACGAGAAUAAGAACAAGAAUGUUCUUGACCGGAAACAAAGGGGAUGUUUGCUUAACUUUUUAAAGCUCCAAAAGAAUUUUUUUUAAAAGUUGUAAAAAGUCAGGUUUUUACAACUUUUUAAAAAAUCCAAAAGUAGUUUUUAAAAUUGUUUCGUCAAACAUCUUUUUGGCUUCUAUCUUUUUUUAAAAGAUUUUUUGGUUUCUCAAAAACUAAGUCAAACACCCCCAAAGAUACAGGCAGAAAAUAAAGGUUUCCAGUUUAAGAUUUAAAUUGUUAUUGGUGUGUAAUUUUAGAUGUGCAAGAAUUUAAUAGCUGUCAUUUAUCUACAUUUUGUGUAUUUUGU